UUUUUUGUCUAGAACAGAAGCCUACAAACCAAUCAUAUAUAGUUUAAAACAGAAAAGAAGACCAUUUAUUCUUGAUGCGGCCUAAUUUAAGAAGUUUCAUCCAAAUUCCUUCAUUCAUCUCUACUGGCCCUCCAAAGCAAAUCCUAAUUGGAAUGUACGUGACAUUCAUCACACAGUGAUGCAGAUGCAGUAUCUGGGUCUCUGGAACAUGUGACUCCUGUGAACAUAGUACGGCUGGGCUACUUGAAUCAGAAAUGGAGCUUGUAAAUAGAUUUCUGACUGGAAGCUCAGAUGCACUGCAGAGUAGGAGCUCCUCGAUCAAACUUUUGCAGUAUUUUCCUGCCUAUAGCGUGGUCUUCUCUCAGUGUCUGGCUCUUCAGAGACAAUGAUCAUGGAUUGUAUUAUCUACAAUUUUCCUUUCUAAGUGGCAGCCUCUGAUAUCUUAUACAUUCUGAGACAAAUUGUCAACUAUUAACAGCAAAGGAAAAUAUAUUCAAGACAGCAGAAUUACUGAAUACAGAAUUCCAAUGGCUGGUAGAAGUUUGACCACAUCUAGACAUUGUUUUGCUUUCUUAAAUUAGUUUGAUUGACAUUUGUUGAAAUCAGCUGUGAUCAAAGCAAAUAAAUACUCAGCCUUGGUGAGACCA
rnacentral:lncRNA from 1 species